rnacentral:rRNA from 1 species
CCUACGGGUGGCAGCAGUGAGGAAUAUUGGUCAAUGGGCGAGAGCCUGAACCAGCCAAGUCGCGUGAAGGAUGACGGCCCUACGGGUUGUAAACUUCUUUUGUAGGGGACUAAUGAGUUCAACGUUUGCCUUUUCGUGAGUACCUUAAGAAAAAGCAUCGGCUAACUCCGUGCCAGCAGCCGCGGUAAUUCGGAGGAUGCCAGCGUUAUCCGGAUUUUUUGGGUUUAAAGGGUUCGUAGGCGGGAUAUUAAGUCAGUGGUGAAAAUUUGGGGCUCAACCCCGUCGUGCCGUUGAAACUGAUGUUCUUGAGUGGGCGAGAAGUAUGCGGAAUGCGUGGUGUAGCGGUGAAAUGCAUAGAUAUCACGAAGAACUCCGAUUGCGAAGGCAGCAUACCGGCGCCCAACUGACGCUGAAGCACGAAAGCGUGGGUAUCGAACAGGAUUAGAUACCCGAGUAGUC